AGUGAACGCUGGCGGUAGGCCUAACACAUGCAAGUCGAACGGCAGCACAGUAAGAGCUUGCUCUUACGGGUGGCGAGUGGCGGACGGGUGAGGAAUACAUCGGAAUCUACUUUUUCGUGGGGGAUAACGUAGGGAAACUUACGCUAAUACCGCAUACGACCUACGGGUGAAAGCAGGGGAUCUUCGGACCUUGCGCGAUUGAAUGAGCCGAUGUUGGAUUAGCUAGUUGGCGGGGUAAAGGCCCACCAAGGCGACGCUCCGUAGCUGGUCUGAGAGGAUGAUCAGCCACACUGGAACUGAGACACGGUCCAGACUCCUACGGGAGGCAGCAGUGGGGAAUAUUGGACAAUGGGCGAAAGCCUGAUCCAGCCAUACCGCGUGGGUGAAGAAGGCCUUCGGGUUGUAAAGCCCUUUUGUUGGGAAAGAAAAGCAGCAGGUUAAUACCCCGCUGUUCUGACGGUACCCAAAGAAUAAGCACCGGCUAACUUCGUG
rnacentral:rRNA from 1 species